rnacentral:precursor_RNA from 1 species
GGGACCAGCCGCGGCCGCGCAGAGGUGCGGGAGCCUUGGCGGCCAUGGCGGUCUCGG